rnacentral:rRNA from 1 species
GAUGAACGCUGGCGGCGUGCCUAAUACAUGCAAGUCGAGCGAACGGACGAGAAGCUUGCUUUUCUGAUGUUAGCGGCGGACGGGUGAGUAACACGUGGAUAACCUACCUAUAAGACUGGGAUAACUUCGGGAAACCGGAGCUAACACCGGAUAAUAUUUUGAACCGCAUGGUUCAAAAGUGAAAGACGGUCUUGCUGUCACUUAUAGAUGGAUCCGCGCUGCAUUAGCUAGUUGGUAAGGUAACGGCUUACCAAGGCAACGAUGCAUAGCCGACCUGAGAGGGUGAUCGGCCACACUGGAACUGAGACACGGUCCAGACUCCUACGGGAGGCAGCAGUAGGGAAUCUUCCGCAAUGGGCGAAAGCCUGACGGAGCAACGCCGCGUGAGUGAUGAAGGUCUUCGGAUCGUAAAACUCUGUUAUUAGGGAAGAACAUAUGUGUAAGUAACUGUGCACAUCUUGACGGUACCUAAUCAGAAAGCCACGGCUAACUACGUG